UACGUAGGGGGCAAGCGUUGUCCGGAAUCAUUGGGCGUAAAGCGCGUGUAGGCGGCUCGGUAAGUCAGCUGUGAAAGUCCAGGGCUCAACCCUGGAAUGCCGGUUGAUACUGUCGAGCUCGAGUCCGGAAGAGGUGAGUGGAAUUCCUGGUGUAGCGGUGAAAUGCGCAGAUAUCAGGAGGAACACCAAUGGCGAAGGCAGCUCACUGGGACGGUACUGACGCUGAGACGCGAAAGCGUGGGGAGCAAACAGG
rnacentral:rRNA from 3 species